CCCUCUCUUGUAGGAGAAAAAAAAAGGUCUCUUUUCAUUCUUCUCAUCUCCUCUUUAAAUCAACCCAUUCCUGCCAUCAUCUUCUUCAUUAAAGUCUAGGGUUUCAUGGUUUAGAAAGAGAAAACUUCGACUAGAGAGAGAAAGUUUCGGUAAAGGUAAGAAACAUGUUUUUCAGAAUUUUCACCUUCUUUAUUUAAGGUUGUGUUUAAAACGUGAUGAGCAUGCUUUGAUAACUUGAGUAUAUUCUUGUGUUGGGUGGAGAAAAAGAGAAAGAAGAGGAGAGAAGGGUUCCAAGCAUGGAGAAAGUGAAAAUGAAGGGUUAGAGAGAAGCCUUGUUUUGUUAAUGAUUACCUAGAAGAAGUUUUUCCCAUCCGUUUUUGACAAAAUCCAAGGCAGAUUCAGAAUUGAAGAGCGAGAUUCCUCUAACCGGGUGGAAAAUGAACAGUAAUCAAAUCCGCACGGCCCUAUAAAUGUUUGUAAUUCUAUUGACAAAGCUGUCCGAAAUUUUUGGUGGAAGCACAAGGCAGACAAAAGAAAGAUUCACUUUCUCAGUUGGAAGGAAGAGAAGAACAACCUACAUUCUAACUUAGAAAGAGAUGAAUACAUAAACUUUAUUUUAAUGUGUAUUUGUAUAUAUGAAUUUUAAUUUAAUGUAAUUAUACACAUGAAACUUUGAUUGCGGUU